GAACGCACAUUGCGCCCGCCAGUAUUCUGGCGGGCAUGCCUGUUCGAGCGUCAUUUCAACCAUCAAGCCCCGGGCUUGUGUUGGGGACCUGCGGCUGCCGCAGGCCCUGAAAACCAGUGGCGGGCUCGCUGUCACACCGGGCGUAGUAGAUUUUAUCUCGCUCAGGGCGUGCUGCGGGUUCCGGCCGUUAAAAAGCCUUUUUUACCCAAGGUUGACCUCGGAUCAGGUAGGAAUACCCGCUGAACUUAAG
rnacentral:misc_RNA from 1 species